rnacentral:snRNA from 1 species
AUACUUACCUAGCAAGGCAUAUAUCAUGAUCAGGAAGGUUGAUUUUCCCAGGUGGCAGAUGACUCAUUGCUCUUUGGAUGUGCUGACCCCUGAGAUUUUCCCAAGUGUGAGAAACUCAACUGAAUGGUUUGUGGUUGGGGACUAUGUUGACAGUUUCCCCUG